AUGGCACUGGUAGCAGACACAUGCGUGUACACAGAAGGUCUAGAGCUCACCAACACCGUGUGGCGCAGCAUGCUCGAGUGCCUGAUGAUACCCAACAGCGGGUUUCAGGCGCCAUUUCUUCAUCGCCUCACAACCGCAGAUCUGCAGGAAAGUUGGAAACUGCCAUCCACAAUAAAAUUUCCUGCUCCGAGUUCAGGAAAGAUUACUUUGGAGACACAACACAAGAAUGGGUAUGCAGACAUGCAAGCUGACUACCACAUCGACUCUGAAGACUGCAUCAACAUAACUACUGGUUGGAAAGAUUUUGUCUCCCAGAAUGGCUUUGAGGUCGGAGAAGUGGCCAUGGUGUUUUUCUACAAAGAAGAAGACUCCCUCAAGUUUACAAUAUUUGCACUCUAG
rnacentral:rRNA from 1 species